AGAAUCUCUCCUAAAAUUUUGAAAGCGAACCGUGGUGCGAAGCAUGCUGGGAAAGUACUCCACACCCUGACCCUCCUCCCAGGCUCGGACUCCACCCCUGACUCCGCCCCAAUAAGACUUGGCGGCUCUGGCUGGCAGGCGUGGUUCCCUGCGUUGGCUGCUGCUCCCUCGCUCGCUUUCCCAGCCCACUUUGUUCACUUCCUAGCCCAUGGUGUCGCCUCCCCGGAGCUCCCCUGUUUGUUUAUGCCGAGUGUGCGCACUGUAGCCACUGCCAUGUCCUUCCCCAGUGGCUGGGAACUCUAGUGGGAAGGACACGGGCAACCUGGGUUUGUGAGGGAACAUGAGAGUGGCAACAGUGAGGGACAUCUGGGGACGCCAGAGCAGCUUAUCUUCCACAGCUGUGACUCGACUGUCAUUUCUCAAGGUCUCUGGGGCCGUCACGUGACACUGAUGGGCCCGCCCAUGGCAGAUCUGCAGGAGACAUAGCAUGAAGGCUGGACUGGACGAGAGGUGGACUUUCCUGAUGACGCCACAGGCGGAUGGUGACACAAAGGGCCACCCUCGACCCACCCACAGAAGCUAACGUCAGUCUGGUAGUGCUGUGUGACCUCAGGAAGAGCGCUUGACAGUUAAAACGCCCGCCAACCCACUGUUGCAUAAAUAAAAGUGGGGCCAAACAGA